ACAGCAUCCUUAGAGUUAUGCUCAAAUGUAUAAAUAAAGGCUUUUUUUUUUUUAAACAAAAGCUUGUUUCUGGAGCUAAACAUAGAUCAGAUCUGAAACCUAGAAGUAGUGCCAGUCAGGCUCCUGCUUUUGCGUUUUGAUUUACUUUCGGCACAAAAUGUGGAUUUAUUGCUCUUGUUAACAGUUCACUGCUCUCAUUAAAAAUGAGCCCAGCGUUGUGCUGAGUUUCAUUGCUUAAGGAGGGGGAGGAUGAGCGAGGAAUGCGAAUUCCUUUGUUUACUCCUGGAGUCUGAUGCCGUUCCCUUGGACCCAGGAGCCCAGCCAUGGUUUGUCACCCAGGUGCCACUGCCCGCUAUGGAUGUCACCUUCCUGGUACCACUCCUUACAGCCUGGCUCAGUGCAGCCCUAUGGCCAAGGACCCGCCGUGCGCCUGCAGCUGGCAUGCGUGUGAGCAGAGAGAUGGCUGGGGAAAGCCUGGUUGGAUUUCCAAGGUAGUUCCAGCAAACAAAGCCAUUUUGAAGUAUGGCUCUGGCUCUCAAUGGAUUAUUGAUUAUUUUCCCUUGGAGCCUUUGCAUGGUGCUGUACAGCAGUGAGCACGGGCACCUGGUUUGCUUUCUAGGGAUGUAGUUAACAAGAUACUGUUUCCUGGAUUAAAGCCUUAGCGUUCAGUACUGAAGACAGAGGAAAGGUAUUUGUCAUGGGUGUUAAAUACUCAAACAUCAAAUCCCUAGCCUAAGAGAGUGAAUGGCAGUGCAGCACUGAUUGGAAUCACUGUGUGGUAACGGAUUGUAACUAUAUUUGUGGAAAACGUUUGUCUACCUGGAUAUUGGAGUAUCUUUGUAUCUUUACUGUUCUCACCCCUUAAGAGAUUGAGGUAUUUGAAUGAUUUGCAGCCUCUGGUUGUUUAGGGACAUGUUAGUAUAUGUGCUGGUAUGAUGUCUGAGGCUGAGUGUCUUUAAUUAAACGGUAUUUUCCUCUUGUUCCUCUGAGAAUUAAAGCAUCUGCCUGCAAGGAGCGUGGAGAUUACAAAAUGUACAGAUCCUUCAAUUCUCAGCCUUGCUUCUGUAAAGUGUUUUCAUUCUUCAGACUACAGUCAGUGAAAAGGGGAGGCUGGCCAGAAAGAAUGGGGAUUCAUUUCAUUAUUCAUUUCUAUCAGUAGCAUUGAAAAAACACUAUUACGUCUCAGCAAAAGCCAUAAAGAGGGAAAUUUUAAUGUCAUUUAAAGCAAUACAGAGAACUUCUUGCUAAUCAGUUAGAAAAAUGAGUUAAGUAGUUUGAAGUGCUGCUGUAAGCGUGCAGUAUUAUAUCCCUCAAUCUUCUCUUUCAGAUGUGGCUUCCCACAGCUUGAGACGUUUCUUUCUUGUUGCUGCGUGAAGCAGGAAAUGGCUUUUGCUGGGGGAGUGUGAAUUUGGCUUCUGCACAAAACGCUCUCGAAAUCGCUGAAUAAACAAACAGUAAAAGCAGGAGGAAUGAUUCCUUCUUCCCUUACCAGUUAUGGAAAGAGGAUUACUUGUAAUGCAGUAGGUUAAAAAACAGCAAUCAGCAUUAUUUUUUAAGUCGAUCGUGUCCUUUUAAUUCUCCUCCACUGCAGUUCUAAUCCCGUUCUCUAAAUAUAAUCAUCCCAUGAAGAAAAGUUGGCCUUUUAAUAGGAAGUGAUUAAUGCUUAUGGGAGUCAUAUGUUUCCUUUUUCAGAAAACACAUAUCCAAAUUGACCUGUGUGGUUUGGAUAACACACAGGGUAUUAUUUUCCAUGGCUGAAGUCCCAUGUAAUGAUCUGAAAAUGUAAGCCUUAGCUUUUAUUUCUGUUUUCUCACCUACAUAAAAGAAACACCACCACCAAAACAGGCAGGUUCUUGUAUCCCAGCUCUGCUGUCUGAGGAUGUCUGCAGGUUGAUGUGAAGUGGCUCAGAGGAGUGACACCAGCAGCUGUGCAUCACCCAGCAGUGCUUGCUGCUCACACAGAUUUCCGCAGGUGUAGCGCAUCAUUACAGCUCUGAGCAGUGCCCAGACAGCAGCGAGCAUCCCACGGGCUCACAGCGUGAGGGAGAAGUGAACGCUGCACAAAGGAGGGAUGUGGCUCUGGCUGCUGCUCAGCACGGUGCCCUUCCUCCCCUGCAUCCCUCAGCGAAGCCUUGUGCUUGUCGGGGCGCAUCGCGUAUGGGCUGGGAGGUCUCACCUUCAGUGUGAGAUCCAUUAUUUUCCUGGGUAGCCAUGUUUGCUGCGGGGCUUGGAGGGAUAUUUGUGCUGAAAUCAUCUUUAAAUCCUUCUCUGGAGAGGAGCGCCUGCCCUGCUUUUUCUGCACACAUCUGUGUCAAUAUCAGUUCUCGUGUAAUUGCAUUGCGCUAAAGUAGGUCUCUGUCAUUUCAGUGCAAUGGGAUUUAUUUGAUGAAACCUCUAUUUUUUUUUAAGUGAGAAUUGCAAAGAAUGCUUCUGUGCUGUGUUGCAGCUCAAGCCAUAGAAUGAUCAUGUGAUGUUAUCCUGGGCUUAUGUUCCUCUGUUAGGGAGCAAACUGCAGUUGGUUUUGAGUAAUGUCACUUUGCUGCAGAAACCUAUGAAUAUAAAGCAUAAAUCCUAUUUCAACCUCCCAACUUUGGGUGCAAUAAAUGCUUUCACAGAAACCUUUCCUGGAUUAAAAGAAAAACAACCCUACUAUGUUUUUUCAGUCAUCCUUCAAUUUAGUUUUCACUGAGGGUUUUAAUGUAUCUGUAAGACAGCUGGAUAAAAAAAAUGAAGAUACCAAGGAAAUUAACUUCAUUAAAUGAGGGAUAUCUUCUAUAAAAUUAUUCUAAAUUGUUGUGGUUCAAGAAGCUGCUAUUCCUGUUUUUCACUGAGCCAUACACAGUUUGAAUGUAAAAACAGAGAUCUACAAGGCAGCAAUGGAUGGAAGUAUUUUCCAGCUAUGUAGUCUAAGGUGAAAUGAUGCUGUGGUGAAAUCAGUGUUUUGAUAAUCAGACUUUGCAAGUCAGAAGCCCAUGAAACCAUUACAUCAUUGCUGCAAGGCAGGUGAGAAGCUCAAAGCAUAAUCUGGUACGUAUGUGGGCGUGCUGAUCCUGUAGGUGCAAGCCAGCAGGGAUGCUCUAUGUGGGACAGUGGCAUCACACCAGGGUGAGCAGGAUGAGAGCUGGGGCAAGGGCAAUCUGACUGCAGCCUUCCAGCAUCCCCUUCUUGAGAUGAGUUUUGCAGCUCGCUUUUUCACACUGUAGGCUUGUUGGGAAUUUAUUUAAUUGCAGGUUAGAUGGUCGUGUCACUGAGCAUCCUUACAGCAGUCCAUUAAUAGUUAAUGGUCAGACAUGUCCCUACAGAAACGGUCUUGCAGAUGGAGUCUGGUGACAUGUAAGUGACAUGUCUGAGCCUCCUCCAGUCCCUGACUCGAUGUGACAGACAUCCCACGCUGCCAGCCUUCCCAAGGGGUUGGGGUGGUAAAGGCAGAUGGCUUUAAAUGAUCCCUGUUAAGUCACUGACCUGUGAGUUUUGAUAGGCUUGGCUGAGGUUAAUGGUUUUGCUCUUCUCUGUGCAAAAUGUUUUUGGUGGUAUCAGUACUUUUGAACUGGUUUUGAGACAUUCAGUCAUUUUAGUGGUAUAUUUUACUAGAAAGAAUGCUUGACACCGUAGUUGUGCCAAUUUUAAUACCAUGUGUUUACCAGAUCCUUGGAUGACAGGUAGAAUAUUUCAGUAAUUCAGGUACCAAACACGAUGAUCUAAUAGAUAAAAUAACCAGACAAAUCUACUGUGGUAUCUUUCGCAUCUGCUGUACCUUCCCAUACAAACGUACUAUUAGCAUUUAAAAUCUGUGAUGUUUGCUACUCAGCACAUAUAGAUGUAAAAUGCCAUAGCUCACGAUCACCAUCACAAAAGAGACAUUAUUUAAUUUAGAGUGCCAUGUUAGCCUUUACUUGCUGAGUAGGGAAUUACUGUACAAAAAUGGUAGCACAUAGAGCAGUAACGUUUUUGAUAUUACACUAACCUCAUGCUGGCAUGAAAAAAAG
rnacentral:lncRNA from 1 species